UGGAUUCACAACCACUGGCAUAGGAGCCCUCCAUGUGGCAGGUGUUACUUGGAGACCCUCUGACUGCUCAAGCGAACCUCCCCAUGGCAUGGAAUCUUGUGGGAGCUCUGCCACCAGGAAACUCCAAAUGUUCUUCAGCUACUGUUCCAAAGCUUUUGCCCUUGAGGAACACAGUGAGGCAGAACCAACACAAUGAGGACUUACUGCUCACCUGAAUAUAUUCUGGGAGGACUGGAAGGACCUACCAGAAAGCCUUGAGGAAACAUGGAGUUUCUGAAUCCUCUACCAUGUUCGCAAGUGAAGGAGAAACAUUUUCAUUCAGAUACCGAUUGAACAACACCUACCUAUGUACCUCCUAGUUCAUCUCUCUGCCUUUAGCCUUGGCCCCAGUGAUCCAGGCUCUACACUGCUAGUGCAAGAAUCUCAUGAAGACAGCAAAUCUGAUGAUGCCCAGACUCUGAGGAAAAUCUUUCAGUGCCAUCUGCAUGAGUUUACUAUUGCUGCUUUAACAAAUUACCACAAAUUUGGUGGCAUAAAACAAUUCAAAUUUUUUAUCUUACACUUCUAUAGGUUAAAAGUUUGACAUGGAUCUUACUGGGCUAGAAUCAAAAUGUUAGCAGGGCUGCGUUCCUUUUAUGGAGUCUCUAGAGAAGAAUCCAUCUCCUAGCGCCUUGCCCAGCUUCUACAUGAUGUCUGUAUUCUUUGAGUCAUAGCCUCUUCCUUCCCUUUAGCAAAAGCAGGUUGAGUUCUCACUCUGCCUCAUUCUGACUUCUACAUAGAAGGUUUUUUCUUUACUCGUUUUGUUCAUAGCUAUAUCCCCAGCACCUAGUAGAAAGUUUUUACUACAUGUUUGUUGAAUAAAUGAAAAAAAAUCAAAAACUUAAAAACAAUGUACUAAGUGUACUUAAUAAAUGCAGUUGUUCCACAUUCCCAUCAGACCUGCAGUGUGAAGACAAAAUUAGUACAUCCCUUGGCUGGUUCACACAUUUUUCAAGCCUCGGUAAAUGAAGAAGAA
rnacentral:lncRNA from 1 species